GCCUCGGUCAUUCCUCUUGCUCUUGACGUUCAUCCUGCAAACCUCAGCAGAGUUUCUAUGUAAUUACAGCCCUUUGCUCGCUGAGCGGGACAUUUUUGUGCCCUGAUGCAAGUCCAUGUGUCUGGCAUCCAAGGACUGUGACAUCUUAUGGGAAGCAGAUGUGGCCAGCUGGAGUGAAGGAAGAGUGUUGCUGCAUCAGUUGGGCCCCCCCAAAAGACUGACUUGCUAGCUCUGAAGAAGAAGGUCUGGCCAGUGGGGGUGUAGUACAGCGCCGCAUCGAUGCGAUCUUUGGGAAGGCCAGUCCCCAUUUCCUUGAUACUUUUGGGGUAUCCAGAAUCGAGGAGAGAUUCCGUGAACACCCAGUACCUGUCACCUGAGGGACGAGAUAAUAUCGCACGUCUGCAGGAAUGAAGUCACACCAAGCCAGGACUACUUCCUGUCAGUACUGCUUGAAGAACACAAAGUCUCACCCAUCAGGUCCCGGUUUCCGAUCGUCCAAGGCUCAGCGGCAUCGAAGUGGGUGUCGCCGCCGAUGCCGUUCCCAGGGAAGUAAGCGUGCGCCAGGAAGCCCCCCUCGCCGUCGAAGGGGCUGCUGUCGCCGUGGAAACCCUCCGCAAAGAAGAUCAUGAUGUCGGCAAACUCCUCCACCUUGUCCCGUAUGUAAUGGUAGGGAAUCUCCCGGAAGCGCAGUGGCGUAACCGCCUCCCACACCUUGAAGGCUCUCCUGAUGGCCUCGUGGGUCUCGUACUCGCCCACCUUUGGGGUGUAGUUCUGUAUCCUGGGGGGUGCCGCAUGUUGCGUGUCAAAUUAGGGCGAGACAUCAAU